rnacentral:rRNA from 1 species
GAUGAACGCUGGCGGCGUGCCUAAUACAUGCGAGUCGAGCGAACAGACGAGGAGCUUGCUCCUCUGACGUUAGCGGCGGACGGGUGAGUAACACGUGGAUAACCUACCUAUAAGACUGGGAUAACUUCGGGAAACCGGAGCUAAUACCGGAUAAUAUAUUGAACCGCAUGGAUCAAUAGUGAAAGACGGUUUUGCUGUCACUUAUAGAUGGAUCCGCGCCGCAUUAGCUAGUUGGUAAGGUAACGGCUUACCAAGGCAACGAUGCGUAGCCGACCUGAGAGGGUGAUCGGCCACACUGGAACUGAGACACGGUCCAGACUCCUACGGGAGGCAGCAGUAGGGAAUCUUCCGCAAUGGGCGAAAGCCUGACGGAGCAACGCCGCGUGAGUGAUGAAGGUCUUCGGAUCGUAAAACUCUGUUAUUAGGGAAGAACAAAUGUGUAAGUAACUAUGCACGUCUUGACGGUACCUAAUCAGAAAGCCACGGCUAACUACGUG